CCUACGGGUGACAGCAGUGAGGAAUAUUGGUCAAUGGCCGGAAGGCUGAACCAGCCAUGCCGCGUGAAGGUCAGUGCCCUAUGGGCGUUAAACUUCUUUUGUGCGGGAGCAAUAAUGGUCACGUGUGGCCAGACGAGAGUACCGUACGAAUAAGCAUCGGCUAACUCCGUGCCAGCAGCCGCGGUAAUACGGGGGAUGCAAGCGUUAUCCGGAUUUAUUGGGUUUAAAGGGUGCGUAGGCUGUGAGGUAAGUCAGCGGUGAAAUGCCCCCGCUCAACGGGGUGAAGUGCCAUUGAUACUGCCUGGCUGGAAUGCGGAUGCCGUGGGAGGAAUGUGUGGUGUAGCGGUGAAAUGCAUAGAUAUCACACAGAACACCGAUUGCGAAGGCAUCUCACGAAUCCGCGAUUGACGCUGAUGCACGAAAGCGUGGGUAUCAAACAGGAUUAGAUACCCUAGUAGUC
rnacentral:rRNA from 1 species